rnacentral:rRNA from 1 species
GUUGUGUUCGUUCGAUUGGUUGGCGCAUUUGCGUACAGAGUGCGCUGAAUCGGUCGGUCGUGCUGUUCGAUCGGCGUGUAGAGGACCGAACUUGUUCGGAAUCCUGCAUGUUGUGAGGGCAGAUGCGGUUGGCUGUUCAUGUUGGUUGCCGGUGAAUUCGUGGUGGCGGCAYUCGGUUAGAUGGCUCGUGUUGGAUGCUUGCAUACUGCGCUUGUCGUCGACGUCGGGAGUCGUCGCUGCUCCGCAACACAUUCGGCGUAUAGUCGGUCACUCAUAUGACCCGUCUUGAAACACGGACCAAGGAGUUUAAGGUGUGCGCAAGUCAUUGGAUUUGGAAAUUCAAAGGCGCAAUGAAAGUGAGCCACCUGGUGGCUGUGAUGUGAGCGGUCGGCGAUUCGUCCCUCCCGUGCAACAUCGCCCCAUGACUAGGCCUCGGUCUGUUGUGGCGGCUGAGCGUACGCUUUGAGACCCGAAAGAUGGGAACUAUGCCCGAMCAGGACS